rnacentral:rRNA from 1 species
GGGACACGUGGUAUCCUGUCUGAAUAUGGGGGGACCAUCCUCCAAGGCUAAAUACUCCUGACUGACCGAUAGUGAACCAGUACCGUGAGGGAAAGGCGAAAAGAACCCCGGCGAGGGGAGUGAAAAAGAACCUGAAACCGUGUACGUACAAGCAGUGGGAGCCUCUUAAUGGGGUGACUGCGUACCUUUUGUAUAAUGGGUCAGCGACUUAUAUUCUGUAGCAAGGUUAACCGAAUAGGGGAGCCGAAGGGAAACCGAGUCUUAACUGGGCGUUAAGUUGCAGGGUAUAGACCCGAAACCCGGUGAUCUAGCCAUGGGCAGGUUGAAGGUUGGGUAACACUAACUGGAGGACCGAACCGACUAAUGUUGAAAAAUUAGCGGAUGACUUGUGGCUGGGGGUGAAAGGCCAAUCAAACCGGGAGAUAGCUGGUUCUCCCCGAAAG